GGGUGAUGGUGGGAUAAAAAUCCCACGAUCCCAGAGCCAUCACAGAGCCUGGAGUGCUGUAGGGCUGUCAGUGUGGGAAAACCCUCUGCCUGCUCAGCUGCUGUCACCGUGGAGUGCCUACUGCCUUGAGUUCCUGCCCAGGGAAGGGGCAGCUCUGUUCAUCUGAGCACUGUGCAUGGAUUUAUCUUUUCACGCUCUGGUUACAGAGCUUGGAGACCCUGCAGCCCCUGGCCACGUGCUACUGAGGUGUGGGCUAAUUGAGACAUGACAGCGUGGAGCAGCAAAUGCUGUGACCCACGGAGAGGAGGUCAGUGAGGCUGAAAUCUUCUGCACAGCUGUGUGCAAGAAGCAGCAAAGAGUUGCACUCCUUACCUCCACCAUCCGUACUGCUGAGAAGCAGCCUGGGGUUGCCUCCUCCUUGCAGCUCUUUCUGGCUGUGCCCAGAAUGGAGUUGAUCACGGCUGGGUGCUGUGGGGGUGCACCCUGUGUGCCUCCUGCAGUGCUGUGGGCAUGGCAGGAGCUCAGGAGGGUGCUGAGAACCUGGGGAUGUCUUUGUGAUCUGAGCAUUUAAUGCCAUUACUCGCAGGCUCUGAAUAGCUGGUUUAAACACCCUUGACCUUCUGCUGCAGAGCAGAUCAAAGCCGAUCUCUCUGCAGUGAUACUCUUUAUCUGAUUCAAAAGGGAAGCAUCCAAUGAAGGGCUUGUUUUGAAAACAUUCUUUCACGUUGUGCCCUAUUAAAUUGUUGACAUGUUGCCCUCUGGCUAUUUGGCAUUAGUUGCACUCCAAAGCUAUCUGCGGCAUUAAUCUAAUUUUGCCUUUCCUCAUCUUUGCUCCUUGAUCUCCAUAUUAUGCCACUUAACAAAUCUGCUUGGGGCCAAACUCGCUUCAAGACGGAGCUCAAUAAGUGGUGGGAGACUGCGGGCAGUGUGGGGCACAUGAGCU
rnacentral:lncRNA from 1 species